CAGUACCUUAGCAGCAAUAGCACGGAGGUAUUUUGCGCGUUGUGCCCCUGUUGUAGAACCCCAGUCAUCCCUCGCAAUCGCUUUCCGUGCUGCUUCCACAGCUAUAUCCACAUCUUCCGCGGUAGCCGCCGGAAUAUCCCCGAUGAUUUCUUCAGUAGCCGGAUUGAUUAUCGGAAUCCGGUCCUUCUUGACCGGUUCUCUCCAUUCUCCGCCGAUGUACAGCUGUCGACGAGGGAUUGCUACAUUACGAUUUG
rnacentral:misc_RNA from 1 species